rnacentral:rRNA from 1 species
GAACUGAAGAGUUUGAUCCUGGCUCAGAUUGAACGCUGGCGGCAUGCCUAACACAUGCAAGUCGAACGGCAGCAGCAGAGAGCUUGCUCUCUGGCUGGCGAGUGGCGGACGGGUGAGUAAUGCAUAGGAAUCUGCCCAGUAGUGGGGGACAACCUGGGGAAACUCAGGCUAAUACCGCAUACGACCUACGGGUGAAAGUGGAGGAUCUUCGGACUUCACGCUAUUGGAUGAGCCUAUGUCAGAUUAGCUUGUUGGUGAGGUAAAGGCUCACCAAGGCAACGAUCUGUAGCUGGUCUGAGAGGACGAUCAGCCACACUGGGACUGAGACACGGCCCAGACUCCUACGGGAGGCAGCAGUNNNNNNNNNNCUGAUCCAGCAAUGCCGCGUGUGUGAAGAAGGCCUGCGGGUUGUAAAGCACUUUCAACAGUGAAGAAAAGCUGACGGUUAAUACCCGUCAGUCUUGACAUUAACUGUAGAAGAAGCACCGGCUAACUCCGUGCCAGCAGCCGCGGUAAUACGGAGGGUGCA